rnacentral:sRNA from 1 species
UGUCUUGGGCUGCACACGUGCUACAAUGGCCGGUACAAUGAGCUGCGAUACCGCGAGGUGGAGCGAAUCUCAAAAAGCCGGUCUCAGUUCGGAUUGGGGUCUGCAACUCGACCCCAUGAAGUCGGAGGCGCUAGUAAUCGCAGAUCAGCAUUGCUGCGGUGAAUACGUUCCCGGGCCUUGUACACACCGCCCGUCACGUCACGAAAGUCGGUAACACCCGAAGCCGGUGGCCCAACCCCUUGUGGGAGGGAGCUGUCGAAGGUGGGACUGGCGAUUGGGACGAAGUCGUAACAAGGUAGCCGUACCGGAAGGUGCGGCUGGAUCACCUCCUUUCUAAGGAGCACUUCUAGGCUGCCUCGGCAGUCCAGAGGCCAGUACAUCAGCGAAUGUCUGAUGCUGGUUGCUCAUGGGUGGAACGUUGACUACUCGGCCUGAGUCUGGGUCGGAGGCUGCAAGUACUGCUCGUAAGAGCGUGNAACGCACGACCUCCGGACAGAGUCCGGUCGGGCACGCUGUUGGGUGUCUGAGGGAAUGAACUUCCUUCAGUUGCCGGCCCCAGUGCACUCGAGCGUCAGGCUCGGGGUGAUGGGUGGUUGGUCGUUGUUUGAGAACUGCACAGUGGACGCGAGCAUCUGUGGCCAAGUUUUUAAGGGCGC